rnacentral:rRNA from 1 species
GGAAUAUUGGUCAAUGGGCGAGAGCCUGAACCAGCCAUGCCGCGUGCAGGAAGAAGGCCCUCUGGGUUGUAAACUGCUUUUGACAGGGAACAAAGAGUCCAUGCGUGGAUAAAUGAGUGUACCUGUAGAAUAAGCACCGGCUAACUCCGUGCCAGCAGCCGCGGUAAUACGGAGGGUGCAAGCGUUGUCCGGAUUUAUUGGGUUUAAAGGGUGCGUAGGCGGCCAUUUAAGUCAGCGGUGAAAGACUUCA